rnacentral:rRNA from 1 species
GACGAACGCUGGCGGCGUGCUUAACACAUGCAAGUCGAACGGAAAGGCCCUGCUUUUGUGGGGUGCUCGAGUGGCGAACGGGUGAGUAACACGUGAGUAACCUGCCCUUGACUUUGGGAUAACUUCAGGAAACUGGGGCUAAUACCGGAUAGGAGCUCCUGCUGCAUGGUGGGGGUUGGAAAGUUUCGGCGGUUGGGGAUGGACUCGCGGCUUAUCAGCGUGUUGGUGGGGUAGUGGCUUACCAAGGCUUUGACGGGUAGCCGGCCUGAGAGGGUGACCGGCCACAUUGGGACUGAGAUACGGCCCAGACUCCUGCGGGAGGCAGCAGUGGGGAAUAUUGCACAAUGGGCGGAAGCCUGAUGCAGCAACGCCGCGUGCGGGAUGACGGCCUUCGGGUUGUAAACCGCUUUAGCCUGUGACGAAGCGUGAGUGACGGUAAUGGGUAAAGAAGCACCGGCUAACUACGUG